GGCUCGGUAGCGGAGGGUCCGCAUCUGUAUUCUGUGCACAUUUGACCUUCCGGUCUGCAGGAAUUCGCUCGUUCAAUUCGAGCCCGAGCCA